rnacentral:rRNA from 1 species
GAUGAACGCUGGCGGCGUGCUUAACACAUGCAAGUCGAACGGAAAGGCCGAAGCUUGCUUCGGUACUCGAGUGGCGAACGGGUGAGUAACACGUGGGUGAUCUGCCCUGUACUUCGGGAUAAGCUUGGGAAACUGGGUCUAAUACCGGAUAUGACGAUCUCUUGGAUGGGGUUGUGGAAAGCUUUUGCGGUAUGGGAUGAGCUCGCGGCCUAUCAGCUUGUUGGUGGGGUAAUGGCCUACCAAGGCGUCGACGGGUAGCCGGCCUGAGAGGGUGUACGGCCACAUUGGGACUGGGAUACGGCCCAGACUCCGACGGGAGGCAGCAGUGGGGAAUAUUGCACAAUGGGCGCAAGCCUGAUGCAGCGACGCCGCGUGGGGGAUGACGGCCUUCGGGUUGUAAACUCCUUUCGCAAUCGACGAAGCCUUUUGGUGACGGUAGGUUGAGAAGAAGCACCGGCUAACUACGUG